rnacentral:rRNA from 1 species
AGAGUUUGAUCCUGGCUCAGAUUGAACGCUGGCGGCAGGCCUAACACAUGCAAGUCGAGCGGAAACGAUGGGAGCUUGCUCCCAGGCGUCGAGCGGCGGACGGGUGAGUAAUGCAUAGGAAUCUGCCCGGUAGUGGGGGAUAACCUGGGGAAACCCAGGCUAAUACCGCAUACGUCCUACGGGAGAAAGCAGGGGCUCUUCGGACCUUGCGCUGUCGGAUGAGCCUAUGUCGGAUUAGCUGGUUGGUGAGGUAAUGGCUCACCAAGGCGACGAUCCGUAGCUGGUCUGAGAGGAUGAUCAGCCACAUCGGGACUGAGACACGGCCCGAACUCCUACGGGAGGCAGCAGUGGGGAAUAUUGGACAAUGGGCGCAAGCCUGAUCCAGCCAUGCCGCGUGUGUGAAGAAGGCCCUCGGGUUGUAAAGCACUUUCAGUGGGGAAGAAAGCCUUCCGGUUAAUACCCGGGAGGAAGGACAUCACCCACAGAAGAAGCACCGGCUAACUCCGUGCCAGCAGCCGCGGUAAUACGGAGGGUGCGAGCGUUAAUCGGAAUUACUGGGCGUAAAGCGCGCGUAGGUGGCUUGAUAAGCCGGUUGUGAAAGCCCCGGGCUCAACCUGGGAACGGCAUCCGGAACUGUCAGGCUAGAGUGCAGGAGAGGAAGGUAGAAUUCCCGGUGUAGCGGUGAAAUGCGUAGAGAUCGGGAGGAAUACCAGUGGCGAAGGCGGCCUUCUGGACUGACACUGACACUGAGGUGCGUAAGCGUGGGUAGCAAACAGGAUUAGAUACCCUGGUAGUCCACGCCGUAAACGAUGUCGACUAGCCGUUGGGUCCUUCGCGGACUUUGUGGCGCAGUUAACGCGAUAAGUCGACCGCCCUGGGAGUACGGCCGCAAGGUUAAAACUCAAAGGAAUUGACGG